AUGCUCUGCGGCGGCGGCGGCGGCGUAUCGAUGGUCAUGGACGCCGCGCUGCGCGACUGGUGCGGGCCGCUGCCCGGCGGAUCCAAGCUGCCAGCCUACCCCCAAAUCCCCGACGGGUUCACCGCGGAGGAGCUCGAGUCGCUGCUGCUCUUCCCGUCCGACGGCGCCGACGCGGCCGCCUGCCCGAAUGCCGCCGCGGCGCCGCCCCUGCUCCCUUCCCCGGCCGCCUCCGCCGACAGCGCGUCGCCGCCGCCACCGAGAGACGCCUCGGGCUCGGCCUCUUCGCCGGCUGCGGCGGCGGCGGGCCAGGCGCAUCCGCAGCCGGACGACUCGGAGGUGUUCUCGGACAUUGUUCUGGGCUACAUCAACCGCAUGCUCAUGGCCGAGGACAUCGACGAGAAGUUCGACCACUACCCGGCCCACCCCGCGCUGCUCGCCGCCGAGAAGCCCUUCCUCGAGAUCCUCGCCGACCAGCCGCCCUGCUCCGGCGGCAGCACGGUCGAGAGCCCCGACGGCAGCAGCGUCACCACCAACUCCUUCAACAGCCACGGCUCCUGCAACUGUGCCGCGCCUUCCGGUGGUGGCCUCGGCGCCAUGCAGGCGCCGCCCGCUCUCGAGUUCCCCACGGCGGAGUUCCUGCAGCCGCCGCAGUUCUACCAGGAUCUGAGCCCCGAGAGCUGCGUGGUGGAAGCUGGCGGUGCAUGGCCGCCGUACGACGCCAUGGAAUUCAACCCUCUUCCUGACGCGUUGCUCUCGCAGUCGUCGUCCUUCGCGUCUUCAAAUGGCAGCAGCGUUGCAUUUUCAGAGGGCUUCGAGCCGUGGCUCAGCACGGCGGGUGCUGUGCCUGAUGCUGCCUUGAGCGAUUUUGUUCUGCAGAGCCAACAAGCAGCGCAGUUCAGCCGAGGAUUUGAAGAGGCCAGCAGAUUUCUGCCUCAAGAGAGCAAGCUUGUGAUUGACGUCGACAGUUUACCGUCAGUUUGGGUUAAAGAAGAUAAGAAGGUUGUGGAGGUCAAGAAAGAGAAAGCUGAUUCUGAAGUAGCUAUUCACCGAGGAAAGAAGCAUUUCUACGGUGACGACUUGGAUGCAGAUGAAGUGAGAUGCUGCAAGCAUUCAGCGCCCGUUGUCGACGCGGAUCACCUUGUGCGGGAGAUGAUGGACAAGGUCUUGCUAUGCAACGGCGAGACAUGCUCUAGAGGUGUCAAGAAACAGGUCAAACAACCCAAGAAGGAGGUGGUUGACUUGGAGACUCUCCUCAUCCAUUGUGCGCAGUCGGUUUCCAUUGAUGACCGGCGGAGUGCAACCGAUCUCCUGAAGCAAAUCAGGCAGCAUGCAUCUGCUACUGGCGAUGGUGACCAGCGUUUGGCACACUGCUUUGCCAAUGGCCUUGAGGCGAGGCUUGCUGGUAAUGGAAGUCAGAUAUACAAGUUACAUACCAUAUCACGGUUUGCAUGCACUGAUGUGCUGAAAGCCUACCAACUGUACUUAGCAGCUUGCCCAUUCAAGAAGAUCUCUCAUUACUUUGCCAAUCAAACCAUUAUGAAUGCUGUGGAGAAAGCCAAGAAAGUUCACAUUGUCGACUUCGGUGUAUACUAUGGCUUUCAGUGGCCAUGUCUCAUUCAACGGCUAAGUAAAAGGCUUGGAGGCCCCCCAGAACUUCGGAUCACAGCAAUAGACACACCUCAGCCUGGUUUUCGCCCAGCAGAGCGCAUCGAGGAGAUUGGAAGAUAUCUAAGUGAUUAUGCUCAGACCUUCAAAGUCCCUUUCAAAUACCAUGGCAUCGCAUCUCAAUUUGAGGCUGUUAGGGUAGAGGAUCUCCACAUUGAGAAGGACGAGAUUCUGAUUGUCAACAGCAUGUUCAGGUUCAAGACUCUGAUGGAUGAGAGCGUGGUAGCUGAGAGUCCAAGGAACAUGGUAUUGAACACAAUAAGGAAGAUGAAGCCACAUGUGUUCAUUCAUGGGGUCACUAAUGGAUCCUACAAUGCACCAUUCUUCGUCUCACGCUUCCGUGAGGCAUUGUUCCAGUUCUCUGCUCACUUCGACAUGUUGGAGGCUAACAUUCCCAGGGAUAAUGAGGAGAGGCUGCUCAUUGAGUCAACUAUUUUCAGUCGGGAGGCAAUUAAUGUCAUAUCUUGUGAGGGAAUGGAGAGGAUGGAGAGGCCAGAGACCUACAAGCAGUGGCAGGUGCGGAAUCAGAGGGCUGGGUUCAAGCAGCUCCCGCUGGACCCGGAAAUCAUGAAGCGUGCACGGGAGAAGGUGAAGUGCUACCACAAGAAUUUCAUCAUCGACGAGGACAACAGGUGGUUACUACAAGGAUGGAAGGGGCGUAUCCUGUACGCGCUCUCAACAUGGAAGGCGAAUCCCCAAUCCUCCUAG
rnacentral:rRNA from 1 species